CGUUUUGGAAUACGGAACACAAGAAGACUUCCUCAGGCACUGCCUGUCUGGACCACAGUGUAGGACGCGCGAAUCUGCAGCUAGGGGGAUUCUGUGAUCACAAAGAACCCGGUGCUCAGAUUGCCUGUAUCUGGAGGGAACUCACCUGAAGGAAAAGCAACCGUGCUUUCCACAGACUCCAAAUCAUCCUCACCUCGCCGAAAGCAGGGCGACUUUCCCCAUAGAAACAGAAGUGAGUGUUUAAGGCAGAAGAUAGGGGGCGUGAAUGCGAUCACGUGACAUUACACACUCUGAAACCCAAACGGGGGAAACUGGGGGAGGGCAGGCCGGGAGAGCGGCGGGGAGGAAAGUGAAAGCAGGUUCUGAGCAUCUCAGCAUGAAGCCCAUUAAUCUGUAGAGCCGCGACGCUCAAAUUUAAAAAGGCAGAGGGAAAAAGAGGGCAAAGUCGUGCAGAGUUCAAACUUCACAAGGCCGGGGGUCUUGUUCACACAUUGUGCAACCCUCACCCACAGGGCCCAGAGCAGGUGGCACAGCCUGAGGGGGACUGAGGCCUGCAAAGUGACUCAGAAAAAGAACUGGUGUGAACCCUGCUAGAUCUGUAGCGCUGGUGGUGCGGGGGGGAAAACGGGAGAGGAGGAAAGAUGUGGUGAGUGGAAGAAGAGGAAACCCUUCCUGGAACAGAUCCCCAGGGUACAAGCCCAGCUGCCUGCGGUUUGCCCGCCCGUGGAAUCAGAUCAAUUGCUUCACCGCCGGCUUCCCUCUCCCUCCCCCUCCUCUCUGAGGAUUGAACCCACAGGGCUCUGCAUUUCUCUUCUUAAGAAGUAGAAAAUCUCAGCUCUUUCAGGAUCAAUCAUGGAGCUUUCCAAGGGCAUAUUUUUCAGCACUGAGGGAAGUCGUCCCAGAGUAUUUCAUUUCCAGGUAAGGGUGACCACUAGGUUUUUCCUCAUCCAAUAUGUUCUCAGUAGCUCCUCCAGUCGUCUAAAUGUGGACUUGAAGAACAUCAGCCACAGGCCAAUUUACAACCCUUCCACAAGGGUUUAAAUUCUGUGGCCUUCCCUCUAAUAUACGGUUGUAUUCAAAUUGCUGCCUAUUUGCUUUAAAUCACUGAGACUAAUUUUCUUCUUUUUCAAAUUAAAAACCAUCCUACUUGAUAGUUUUUUAUCCUUCUGCCUCAAAUAGUAAAAAAUUAAGAUCUUUGUAAACCAUACAAUACAGGAUACUAAAAGGUGCAGAAAUGCAAACAAGGAGACAUUUUGGAAAUUUUAGGUUCUGGAUUCUCGAGAUGAGAGGGAGGCAUUUCCAUUAUCUCUGUUGGGCUCCUCAAGAGAGUUGCAUGUUCUGAUGCUUGAAGGUGACGUAACCAGCUUCUGGUGACACUCAGGCCUGGCACUGCCAACCGUGUGAACUACAGCCUUCUCCUUAUUAACCACGAUCAUCACUGACUGCUCAAGGAAGAGCCUGGGGUUUGACUCCCCAAGGGGACACUGUGACUACCAGCACAGAGCUGCCUGCCCAGCUGGGCUGCUGACUGAUGGGAAGAGGGGGCUGCAGCCUGGGAAGGUCAAGGGGGAGAAAAAGCCCAGCUCUCACCUGGAUGGACACAGGCUUUCUGUCAGGCCUCCUACUUUGCAUGUUUUUCCUCUUUCCCUGCACGGUUAGGACUCCAGCAGGAGACUGAAAGAAGAACUGGCAGGUGUAACAUCACAUCUUCAUCUCAGUAUCAUAGGGAAAACUCUGUAUUUUUUCGUAUUUUGCCUUCACACUAUAGAUGUUUUAAGAAUACACUUUUAUCAGGUUA